rnacentral:miRNA from 15 species
GGAUACACUAAGUUCAGUUUUG